rnacentral:sRNA from 1 species
GCUGGGCAUAGUAGCGCAUGCCCGUAAUCCCAGCUGCUUGGGAGGCUGAGGCAGGAGGAUCUUGAGUUCAAAGCCAGCCUCAGCAACUUAGCAAGGCCCUAAGCAACUCAGCAAGACCCUGUCUUUA